UGGGCUGGCUCCAUCUGUCACCACUGUGUGACCAUGGGAAAGCCACUUAUCUUCUCUGGGCCUUCAGUGUCCUCAUCUCUAUAACAGAGGUGGCAGUAACAAUUGCUACCUCACCAGGCACUUGGCCCUCCAUAAACAGAUGCUGUGGUUAUUAUCAUCAUCAUAAGGACCAUUGCUUGGGGACCCAAGACAGGGAUAGCAAACAGGUUUCAUCCCGAGUCGGGACUGUGAUCGAGUGGCAUGGCUGCCUGGAAUGCUGUGUGGAUGCUGAUUCCAAGGCCAGGUCUGUGAUCACUGGGAGAGUGCCUGGAUUGAUUACUGAUGCCUGGCGUGGGCAUGUGAACACUGGGCGUCGUGGCUCUGAAUGUUCACAGCAUCUCUGGGGCGUCACUCACUGUGAUCAUGACUGAGUUCCAGGUGGCGGAGAAGACGUCCGUGUCAUUAUUGCCCUGGUAGUGCUUGACAGAGCCAAGCAGACACCCUGGGUCCCAGGCCCUGAAGAAGCUACAGGACUGGGCAGGAAGUCUUUGUACGUCAGUUUCCAGAGGAGUCCCCCUCAGUUUCUCCUACUCCCAAAAUAUUCUCCUUCGGUCCUGCUGCAGUCAAAGGCUAGGGCCCUGGGUGGUGCCCAGCAGAGGAGACCAUCUGGGCACCAUUGUCUGCUCACAGGCUGUGGUGGCCUCCUCCUCUGCUCCGUGCGACUACCCUCCCCGCCCGCCUCCUCUACCCUAGGGCCAUUUUGUGUCUCCUGCCCCAUUGCCCCUCCUCCCCUCCCAUCUUUCUCCAACCCCCUGCCCCAGUCUCCCUGUGGCUAUGGUGCCUGGCUCUGGUCAACUCAGGGGAGGCAGCUGGCACCCCAGCUGCCUGUAGCCUCUGGAACUUGGUGGCUUGUGGGGCCAAGUUACACAGGAGGAUACCAGCCAGGGCCUCCUCCACCAGCAGUCUGCCCCGGGCUCCUACAUUCCAGCCUCUCGGACUAUUCUGACUGUCUCGCUAUCACUGGGCCGUUACUAGGCAAGGUUUGGAAGGGAUGUUUCCAGAAUAAGAUGAAGGCCAGGAUGGCUGCUGAGAGCUCUGCCAGGAAGAUGAUCAGGAUGAACAGGAAGAACUGCAGGGAGAGGAACAGGCUUGUGAGCCCAGAGGGCAGGCAGGGGAUGGGGCGGCCACUGGCCAAUGCAUCUGUCCAUCUGUCACACCAGUGAUACAGUAUACUCAUUUUGUAAGAUUAACGCACUCCACUGCUAUCAGACAUUUUUCAUAACAAACACACCAGUGAUUACUCCUUGGAGUCAAGAGUAUUGUGAUCAAAAUAUGAAAAGAAUAAACAAAUAUAUACCUUCCAUGCAAAUGGUACCCUUGUACAGUGUGCAACCUGAACAACCCUACUCAGCUGCCCUGGAAGGAGAUCGAUGAUGAAACCCGUUUGAGCCCACUUGGGGUAAAUUUUCUUCUGGGUAGGUUGUAUGGGCUGCGAGAAUCCUGAGUGCCUUGGGGAUCCCCAGUUGGAUUUCCCCACCCUGCCAGCCCCAGGGCCACCUCUCCCUGCCCCACUGCCUCUGGUUCCCAUGGGAAGUGGGGAGGUCAUACUGACCUUCAGCCCAAAUCCAAGGAAUGAGAUUGGAGGGAAGGUGGUUUGGCCACCAAAUCUCAAAACCCAGGGGCCAGGAGUUUGGUAUCUAACACAGUCUUCUGCUCCACUCACUGAAUUUGAUGUUCCCUGAAUGAACCAUAGUGCCCCUCAUUUCAGGGAUCUCACAGGCUAUGUUACCUCUGCCAGGAAGGCACUGCCCUUCCUUACCCACCAGUUCCUCAUUUCUCCAGAUCAGGUGAAGCCUCAGCCUCUCUCCUGGUGAGAAGCCUUUCCUGACUUCCCUAAGCAGGGAGAACCCUCCCUCUCCUGGGCUUCCCCACACCACAGUGCCUCACAGAGGUGCCCGCACGGCAUUAGCACAGGGGCUGUCACUCAGCGCGCUGCCCGCUCGGAUGCCUGGGUCGGCACAGGUGUUGACGCAGGACUCUUAGACGGAUGAAUAAGCCGGGGUGGAGCACUCGCCAUGAAGGCCCUGUGAUUUGCCACAUCACCGCCCUGGUCAUUGGGCUGAGAGCUGUCAACAGAAGAAACCGGCUUUGCCUUCAUCACUCAACAUAGCUGGUGCCCUUGACAAAGUCCGUUGUCACCCUGCCUGGAAACCAGCAGCAGAGGACUUUAUCCCUGGCACACACAGAGACUGGUUCUUCCAUGCCCUCCCAGGCACCCAGGCAGCGGCCAGACCUGCUCUCUGGGGUCCCAGUCGUCAGGACUGACUGCCUG